CAGAUUUAAUUUUAUGAACCUGAAUGAUAUCAGGACCGGGUCAGGAUUUAGGUGAACCUGCAUAUCCAAAACCCAUACUCGGAUAUCUUUCAUUUUAAUAUUAAUUUUUUUAAUAAUUUUUAAUAUAAAUAGAAAAGAAAGAACGAAAAAUAUAAUGCGCACAGCCGGCCCUAAUUUUGCAAUUCACAUUCCUCUUCUCAAAUCUCACAUCCGCCGGUCGCCAACCAGAUUUCCUUUUCUCUUCAUCAAAUCAAGUCAUCGUCGUCAUCGCUUCAGCCAUUUUCUUUUCUCUAUGUUCAUUAUUAUCAUCAUCAUCAUCAGUCGCUGUGUUCCUCUUCUCAGCGCUGCUGCGACGUCCAACCCUUCUCAAUUGUUCAUCUUCAACUGGUGCAAAAUUGAGUGGAUUACCUUCCACCUCUAAGCCCGUCUUUGCUUAUCAUUUGUCAUAUUCCAUGGUUCCUGUGGAGCUAGGUGGGGGUUGUCUUUGAUGGCAUUGCAUGGUGGAUCUGGGUGGGCCGCAGUCUUUGAUGCCAUUACAAUUCAAAAUUAAUUGUAAUUUUCGUGCAUCCACUUCCUAUAAUAGGUUAUUAAUUUAUUGAAUUUUUUUGGUAGUAUUUGCAGCACCUCUAUAUUAGGGUCUAUAAGCUACCUGCCUGAGUUUCAUUAACUAAGAAAAAAAAAGGGUUCAUCGGUUUUUUUUUUUUUUUAAAAGAGAUUUCAAUUAAAUCAACGAAGAAAAGAGAUACAUCACUUGUGAAGGGUAUGAACCCUUCCACACAACAGUCUCGCACUUCUCUAAAGCUAACUUAGCUAAAGAGUAGGCAAUAGCAUUACAAGAUCUAGACGUAUACUUAAUACUAACACAAUCGAAGUUUGCCGCUAACUUCUGAAUUUCUGAAACAACCCAAGGGUUCAUCGGUUUUAAUUUGUGAUUGAAUUGUAGUGUCGAAUUUUUUUUUCAUUUUUUAAUUAUAAUUCAAAAGACAAUUCGAGCUUCAAACCUGAAAUCCGAAAACUUGAAUUUUUUCGGGUUGAAUCCAAACCAAACCCGCAUGCAAAAACGAGGUUUAUAUCGAGAUCCAGUAUAAGAAAAUGACAUCCGGGUCCGGAACCCGAAAGGCCAAUCCCAAAUCCAGACCCGGCUUUUGCCAUCCCUAGUUAUAACCAAUUGACCACUGCCACAUUACCACAUCACUAAGAGUUCUGCUAUUUAGCCAUAAGAAAGAAAGAAGGACGGCAGAAACGGCAGCAUGUGCUACCGUUUCACGCGUCCUUCUCACUCUUCCCCAUGGCCCACAAAUACAUUAAAAUAAUGAUUAAAAAAUGGCGCAAAAAUAAUGUUUGAGUUCAAUGAAAUAAACAAUGGCCCGUAAUAAAGUUUAGACUAAUGAUUAAAAAUGGAGGUAUUUGUUCGAUAGCACUCAGCUCAGUUCUACUCGUGCAGUUAUUCCAUAGUUGAAAAAAAAAUAAUAUGGUCAUUUCUUUUUCUCAAGCACUAGAACUCCGAUUUCGAUAGCAAAAAAAUAAUAAUAAAAUAAAACUAGCAACUUACUAUUUGAAAGCUGAGAAAUCUGCAUUCGAUGCUGACGAGAUUAGCGUGUGGUGCUUACGACCACCAUGCUAACAGAGGCAGCUUUGCACUUGAUACAUAUAAGUGGCAUAAAUUGGCCAUUGACCAUUGAGAAGGCAAGGAAUGGAAAUUGUUCAGGUUUCUUUGCAGCUGUGGAAUUAAGCAUUCGGACUCUAUUUGAGACAACAAAAACCAUAUUGCAACUUUGGGUUAACAGAAUUAAUUUGUCUACAACACUGACAAUAAGAAACUCGGAUCUUUCUCCAUCCUCAUCAGUUCUCUCCCUAAUUACUACAACUUGCACUAAGACUUGAUGAAUGAGUACAAAUCGUCCUGUAACUAUCCAUAUCAAUAGCAGGGCAUCGAUUAGACGUGUCCAGAAAAUCUUCUUUAACUACAUAUUAGAACUUAUUUCACUAUCAGAACCACAUCAACAACAACAUUGUUGACUGCAAGGUUGUGGCUUUUGUUCUAUUUUUUUUCGAUAAGAGAUCGUUGAAAAUGGUCGAUUUUGUGGUGGCAGUCAAAGGAAAAGAUAAUGUUUGAUUGAAAGAGAGAUAACGAGGCCGCGAGAGUGAGGGAGCAAGAGGGACCUCUGAGACCUCUCAUUGUUGCUGCAUGGUGAGGGAGAACGAAGUUGAGACCGACCUUGCGUUGAGACAGGAGAGAGAGAUCGAGAAUCUUAUUGCCUGGUGCGAGGGACGCGUGAGAUUUUUACUGGAUUUUUGCGUGCGUGUGUGGUGUUUGCACAUAUGAACAUGUGGCUUUUAUACGAAAAGUUUUGUGCUCUCCUUUGUGUUAAUGCCAUUUUCCUUUUUUAAGUAUUAUUUUAAUAUUUU
rnacentral:lncRNA from 1 species